AAAAUGUAUCUGUCAUUAAUGUUAGUAACCUCCAUAUCAUGAAGGUAUUUUAUGCAAGAUCAUUCUCAUCCAAACUCAGUGAUGACUGGUGCCAGCAGGAGGGGCCGGGAGGAUCGGGUGGAGUUAGGGUCAGAUGGUCAACAAGCUGAGCUCAGCUGAAGUGACGUCUCUGAAAAACAACGACCUGACAUCAUCUAAAAACCCUCCUGAAGAUCACUGAGCUCUAGUUCCUCUUCCACACUACUAUUGGUUGGUGGCUCUGGGGAGAUGAAGCCAAUCUGAUGGUAGCCUUAAUAAAUGCUGAGGGGCUGCACUUCCAGGCCUCUCGGCCACUUCUGCUGUCUGCUUUCACCCAUGGAGCAGAAGAGAGACAAGUUCAAGUCAAGUUCAAGUUAUUCUCACCUAUGGCAUGCAGGUGCUGUUUGCCAGCUGCGCUGCAUCACUCAGAAAAGCUCUUCAAAGACUCAUAAAAUUAAAAUUGGUACAACAAAUCACUGGUUCUCAGUUACCAUCACUAGAAAACAUUUACAGAACAGCUGUCUUCAUCAUCAGAGACUCAUCCCACCCAGGUCACCAGCUUUUCACCCUGCUGCCCUCUGGAAGGAGAUACAGGCCCUUAAAAAGUCUCACACACACACACACACACACACACACACACACACACACACACACACACACACACACACACACACACACACACACACACUCAGAGUUUUUAUCCAAGUGCCAUAGAGAACUAAUCUGCUGAACAAUCGGGCUAAUAAAUACAUAAACAAGUGGUAUCCUGUACAGUAAUACCCUAAACAUGUGCAAUAUUAUCUGUGCAAUUUACCUAUGUGCGAUAGAACUGAGCACAUGUACUAUUUAUUAGUUGUCUGUAGGUUAUGUUACUGAAUAUAGUUAUGUUUACUGUAUGUUCCACUGGAAAAACUUGUUUUCAUUGUAAACUGUGCAAUGACAAUAAAGAC